GCUCUGUGAUGAACCCCAUGCGUGUCAUCUGAGCCUGGCUUCCUUGUCAGCUCAGCCCAGGUAGUGUUCUACUUGCCAGGGCUGUUUGGCCUGGCAAGGGGUUCCCAGGCAAAGGAUCAAUCUUUGUAUUCUGAGAGC
rnacentral:snoRNA from 1 species